AACACACCUGAUCUCGUCUGAUCUCGGAAGCUAAA
rnacentral:rRNA from 1 species